UUGCACAAUGGGCGAAAGCCUGAUGCAGCCAUGCCGCGUGUAUGAAGAAGGCCUUCGGGUUGUAAAGUACUUUCAGUUGUGAGGAAGGGGGUGUCGUUAAUAGCGGCAUYUCUUGACGUUAGCAACAGAAGAAGCACCGGCUAACUCCGUGCCAGCAGCCGCGGUAAUACGGAGGGUGCGAGCGUUAAUCGGAAUUACUGGGCGUAAAGCGCAUGCAGGUGGUUCAUUAAGUCAGAUGUGAAAGCCCGGGGCUCAACCUCGGAACUGCAUUUGAAACUGGUGAACUAGAGUACUGUAGAGGGGGGUAGAAUUUCAGGUGUAGCGGUGAAAUGCGUAGAGAUCUGAAGGAAUACCAGUGGCGAAGGCGGCCCCCUGGACAGAUACUGACACUCAGAUGCGAAAGCGUGGGGAGCAAACAGGAUUAGAUACCCUGGUAGUCCACGCCGUAAACGAUGUCUACUUGGAGGUUGUGGCCUUGAGCCGUGGCUUUCGGAGCUAACGCGUUAAGUAGACCGCCUGGGGAGUACGGUCGCAAGAUUAAAACUCAAAUGAAUUGACGGGGGCCCGCACAAGCGGUGGAGCAUGUGGUUUAAUUCGAUGCAACGCGAAGAACCUUACCUACUCUUGACAUCCAGAGAAGCCAGCGGAGACGCAGGUGUGCCUUCGGGAGCUCUGAGACAGGUGCUGCAUGGCUGUCGUCAGCUCGUGUUGUGAAAUGUUGGGUUAAGUCCCGCAACGAGCGCAACCCUUAUCCUUGUUUGCCAGCGAGUAAUGUCGGGAACUCCAGGGAGACUGCCGGUGAUAAACCGGAGGAAGGUGGGGACGACGUCAAGUCAUCAUGGCCCUUACGAGUAGGGCUACACACGUGCUACAAUGGCGCAUACAGAGGGCAGCGAACUUGCGAGAGUGAGCGAAUCCCAAAAAGUGCGUCGUAGUCCGGAUUGGAGUCUGCAACUCGACUCCAUGAAGUCGGAAUCGCUAGUAAUCGUAGAUCAGAAUGCUACGGUGAAUACGUUCCCGGGCCUUGUACACACCGCCCGUCACACCAUGGGAGUGGGCUGCAAAAGAAGUGGGUAGU
rnacentral:rRNA from 1 species